UACGUAGGGUGCAAGCGUUGUCCGGAAUUAUUGGGCGUAAAGAGCUCGUAGGCGGUCUGUCGCGUCUGCUGUGAAAACUCAGGGCUUAACCCUGAGCUUGCAGUGGGUACGGGCAGACUAGAGUGUGGUAGGGGAGACUGGAAUUCCUGGUGUAGCGGUGAAAUGCGCAGAUAUCAGGAGGAACACCGAUGGCGAAGGCAGGUCUCUGGGCCGAUACUGACG
rnacentral:rRNA from 1 species